CAUCCACAGUGUGAUGGCCUG
rnacentral:siRNA from 1 species